GCUCCACCCAGUUCGAGCUUCCUGGCUGCUUUGUUUACCUAAGCAAGCCUGGGCAAUGGUGGGCGCCCCUCCCCCAGCCUGGCUGCUGCCUUGCAGUUUGAUCUCAGACUGCUGUGCUAGCAAUCAGCGAGACUCCGUGGGGUAGGACCCUCAGAGCCAGGUGCGGGGUAUAAUCUCGUGGUGCGCCGUUUUUUAAGCCCGUCGGAAAAGCGCAGUAUUCGGGUGGGAGUGACCCGAUUUUCCAGGUGCUGUCCGUCACCCCUUUCUUUGAUUAGGAAAGGAACUCCCUGACCCCUUGCGCUUCCCGAGUGAGGCAAUGCCUCGCCCUGCUUCGGCUCGCGCACGGUGCGCGCACCCACUGACCUGCGCCCACUGUCUGGCACUCCCUAGUGAGAUGAACCCGGUACCUCAGAUGGAAAUGCAGAAAUCACCCGUCUUCUGCGUCGCUCAGGCUGGGAGCUGUAGACUGGAGCUGUUCCUUUUCGGCCAUCUUGGCGCCUCCCUCAGGUCUCACAGUUUGGAGGAUAGAAUGGGAAAAUGCUGAUUGCAAGUUAUUUCCGACAUCCUUGAACUUACCUCCCACAUGUGAAUCACAGCUUCUACUGCAUGCCCACUCCUUUUGCCUAAAUAUGCAGUUAUCAUCAUACAUCCAGAAUUGCCCUCUGAAUAAAAAAUACUUUAACUUGAAG
rnacentral:lncRNA from 1 species